UACAGAGGUCCCGAGCGUUGUUCGGAUUCAUUGGGCGUAAAGGGUGCGUAGGCGGCGAGGCCAGUCUGAUGUGAAAUCCCGGGGCUCAACCCCGGAACUGCAUUGGAUACUGCCUUGCUUGAGUACUGGAGAGGGAACUGGAAUUUACGGUGUAGCAGUGAAAUGCGUAGAGAUCGUAAGGAAGGCCAGUGGCGAAGGCGAGUUCCUGGACAGUUACUGACGCUGAGGCACGAAGGCCAGGGGAGCAAACGGG
rnacentral:rRNA from 1 species